rnacentral:other from 1 species
UUGGCAUGUUGUUUAGCUUCAUCAGAGACAUUAGGGUUAUCCACGAUUGCUUUGUAACCACCAAGGACAUUGCCAGUAUUUUUCUGGUGCUCCUCGAGAUAUUCUCUCUCGCGUUGCUUGGUCUCUUCAAAGACGUUGGGAGUUAUGAAGUGCAGACU